UUUUUUUAUUUUUUAUUUUUUUUGAGACAGGGUCUCACUCUGUCACUCAAGGCUCAGGCUGGAGUACAGAGGCAUGAUCUCGGCUCACUGCAACCUCCACGUGCUGUGCUCAAGCUACCCUCUCCCUCAGCCUCCUCAGUGGCUGGGAUCACAGGCGAGUCACCAACCCAGCUAAGUUUUGUAUUUUUUGUAGAGAUGGGGUUUCGCCCAGACUGUUCUCAAACAUCUGGCCUCAAGUGAUCCCCCCACCUUGGACACCCAAAGUGGUGGGAUUACAGGCAUGAGCUACGGCUCCCGGCCCCAGUAGAACUUUCUACUGUGAUGGGACUGUUCCAAAUCAGAACCAUUUAAUAUGGUAGACACUAUUUCCAUGUAGACACUGAAAACCUGAAAUGUGACAUGUGCAACUGAGCAAGUCAAUUUUUUAUUUUAUUUCAGUUAUUUCUUAUUCUUCUUUUUUUUUUUUUUUUUUUUUUUUUGAGACAGACUCUCGCUCUGUUGCCCAAACUGGAGAGCAGUGGUGCGAUCUCAGCUCACUGCAACCUCCGCCUCCCAAGUUCAACUGAUUCUCCUGCCGCAGCCUCCAGAGUAGCUAGGAUUACAGACAUGUGCCCCCAUGCCUAAUUUUUGUAUUUUUAGUAGAGGCAGGGUUUUGCCAUGUUGGCCAGGCUGGUCUCCUGACUUCAGGUGAUCCACCUGCCUCGGCCUCCCAAAGUGCUUGGAUUACAGGCAUGAGCCUCACAUCUGGCCUAUUUCAGUUAAUUUCAAUUUAAAUGGCCACAUUCGCCAGUGUUUGUAAUAGUGAGCAGCACAGCUGUGUCCUCACUUCUCUAAGGCAAGCCACGACCCCUCACAAGUUACUGUGUAGCCUGUUAAUACUGUUUCAGUGUGGCAAACCGAAGCCCUGGUUUCAGAAAGAAAAGUACUUUGAGGAACAACAAUCAAAGACACACAGAGUAGAUUUGAUGCACUUUCACUGCCUUGCUUCAGGAACAUGCUCUGAGCUAUGACAAGGCAGAGAAGGGGCUUGUGGGCCUACAUGACAAAAUAAAACAGGAGGGGAACUGAGUCCCUAAGGGAAUUAACCCUGUAUCUGGAAAACAUGAGUGGCAGGCAGUGAGACUUACAGAUAUAUGAUGUGCUAAAAUUACUGAAUGAAGCAAUUUUUCAAUAAAAGAUUCUAGAGACAGGCACGCCCCUCCCACAGUUUUACCUCUUCAUUAAGUUAAGUAUUAAAUUAAUUCCCUAGAAAAUAUCCUCAUGGUCAUGUCACUGUAAGUCUGAAAAUUAACUGCAGGAAUUAGGUACUGCCAGCCUUCCUUCUGAGUCUUCAGCAGCCUGGGCCUCACAUCCACUGCAGCUUGGAGUAAGGAUAAUGUGGGGGCUGCCCAGCAGCCAGCCCUGCUCUAAGCUGAUCUGUGGCACAGCUGGAAGGAGAACAAGAAAUACCUAUGCACUGUGCAAGGGCAAAAGCAUUCUACAUGCCUGUGACAAACCAGAGUUUGUUCCACCACCACAUUUAAAGGACAAGACAACCACAGGCCUCUACAUCAAAAUGACAGUCCAAUGGGGUGUCCAGC
ensembl:lncRNA